rnacentral:rRNA from 1 species
UAAGGAAUAUUGGUCAAUGGACGCAAGUCUGAACCAGCCAUGCCGCGUGAAGGAUGAAGGUCCUCUGGAUUGUAAACUUCUUUUAUCUGGGACGAAAACGGGAUUUUUAUCUCAAUUGACGGUACCAGAGGAAUAAGCACCGGCUAACUCCGUGCCAGCAGCCGCGGUAAUACGGAGGGUGCGAGCGUUAUCCGGAUUUACUGGGUUUAAAGGGUGCGUAGGUGGGCUUAUAAGUCAGUGGUGAAAUCUCCGAGCUUAACUUGGAAACUGCCGUUGAUACUAUAGGUCUUGAAUUAUCUGGAGNUAAGCGGAAUAUGUCAUGUAGCGGUGGAAUGCUUAGAUAUGACAUAGAACACCAAUUGCGAAGGCAGCUUACUACAUAUAAAUUGACGCUGAGGCACGAAAGCGUGGGGAUCAAACA